rnacentral:tRNA from 1 species
GCUGCGGUGGCCGAGUGGUCUAAGGCGGCAGAUUUAAGUCAUAUGAUUCAAUCUCUGCUCUCGAGAGAGGCGCGCGUAAGUGAUGACACUUCAACAUAGCGAGCUUACAGUCGGCUAAUUUACAAAAGGUUCGAACCGCGUCCGCAGCA